AGUCGAGCGGUAGAGAGAAGCUUGCUUCUCUUGAGAGCGGCGGACGGGUGAGUAAUGCCUAGGAAUCUGCCUAGUGGUGGGGGAUAACGUUCGGAAACGGACGCUAAUACCGCAUACGUCCUACGGGAGAAAGCGGGGGACCUUCGGGCCUCGCGCCAUUAGAUGAGCCUAGGUCGGAUUAGCUAGUUGGUGAGGUAAUGGCUCACCAAGGCUACGAUCCGUAACUGGUCUGAGAGGAUGAUCAGUCACACUGGAACUGAGACACGGUCCAGACUCCUACGGGAGGCAGCAGUGGGGAAUAUUGGACAAUGGGCGAAAGCCUGAUCCAGCCAUGCCGCGUGUGUGAAGAAGGUCUUCGGAUUGUAAAGCACUUUAAGUUGGGAGGAAGGGUAGUAACUUAAUACGUUGCUACUUUGACGU
rnacentral:rRNA from 1 species